AGUGAACGCUGGCGGUAGGCCUAACACAUGCAAGUCGAACGGCAGCACAGUAAGAGCUUGCUCUUACGGGUGGCGAGUGGCGGACGGGUGAGGAAUACAUCGGAAUCUACUUUUUCGUGGGGGAUAACGUAGGGAAACUUACGCUAAUACCGCAUACGACCUACGGGUGAAAGCAGGGGAUCUUCGGACCUUGCGCGAUUGAAUGAGCCGAUGUCGGAUUAGCUAGUUGGCGGGGUAAAGGCCCACCAAGGCGACGAUCCGUAGCUGGUCUGAGAGGAUGAACAAGCACACUUGGACUUGCGCACGGGUCAGGCUCCUACGGGGAGGCAGCAUGGGGAAUUAUUGGCCAUGGGCGGAAACCUCGUCCAAGCCAACCGGGGUGGGUGAAGAAGGCUUCGGGGUUGUAAAGCCUUUUUGUGGGGAAAGAAAAGAGCAAGGUUAAACCCCGGUUGUCUUGCCGGAACCAAAAGAAGAAGAACCGGUAACUUCCGU
rnacentral:rRNA from 1 species